CCAUCGUUGACUGGAGUUCAGACGCGCUCUUUCCAUUAAAUUCUUCUAAACCUCUUAUAUAUUUUAUAGUAAUUAUUGAAUUAAUUAGAUUAAUUAUUCGACCUUGAACUUUAUCAAUUCGAUUAUCAUCAAAUUUAAUUUCUGGACAUUUAAUUU